AUUGAACGCUGGCGGCAUGCCUUACACAUGCAAGUCGAACGGCAGCACGGGUGCUUGCACCUGGUGGCGAUUGGCGAACGGGUGAGUAAUACAUCGGAACAUGUCCUGUAGUGGGGGAUAGCCCGGCGAAAGCCGGAUUACUACCGCAUACGAUCUACGGAUGAAAGCGGGGGCCCUUCGGGCCUCGCGCUAUAGGGUUGGCCGAUGGCUGAUUAGCUAGUUGGUGGGGUAAAGGCCUACCAAGGCGACGAUCAGUAGCUGGUCUGAGAGGACGACCAGCCACACUGGGACUGAGACACGGCCCAGACUCCUACGGGAGGCAGCAGUGGGGAAUUUUGGACAAUGGGCGAAAGCCUGAUCCAGCAAUGCCGCGUGUGUGAAGAAGGCCUUCGGGUUGUAAAGCACUUUUGUCCGGAAAGAAAUCCUUGGCCCUAAUACGGUCGGGGGAUGACGGUACCGGAAGAAUAAGCACCGGCUAACUACGUG
rnacentral:rRNA from 1 species